rnacentral:tRNA from 1 species
UAUUUUUUAGUAUAAAAAGUACAACUAACUUCCAAUUAGUAAGUUUGAAAAAUUUCAAGAAAAGUAA